GCAGAACGCGAAGAACCUUACCAGGGCUUAAAUGCAGUCCGACAGGAUUGGAAACAGUCCUUUCUUCAGACGGAUUGCAAGGUGCUGCAUGGUCGUCGUCAGCUCGUGCCGUGAGGUGUCAGGUUAAGUCCUAUAACGAGCGCAACCCCUGCCGUUAGUUGCCAGCGAGUAAAGUCGGGAACUCUAGCGGGACUGCCGGUGCAAACCGUGAGGACGGUGGGGAUGACGUCAAAUCAUCACGGCCCUUACGUCCUGGGCCACACACGUGCUACAAUGGCAGGUACAAUGGGCAGCCACUGCGCAAGCAGGCGCGAAUCCACAAAACCUGUCUCAGUUCGGAUCGGGGUCUGCAACUCGACCCCGUGAAGCUGGAAUCGCUAGUAAUCGGAUAUCAGCCAUGAUCCGGUGAAUACGUUCCCGGGUCUUGUACACACCG
rnacentral:rRNA from 1 species